UUCCUUCUUUCCUUCUUUCUUUCUUUCUUUUCUUUUCUUUUCUUUCCUUCUUUCCUUCUUUCUUUCUUUCUUUUCUUUUCUUUUCUUUCCUUCUUUCCUUCUUUCUUUCUUUCUUUUCUUUUCUUUUCUUUCCUUCUUUCCUUCUUUCUUUCUUUCUUUUCUUUUCUUUUCUUUCCUUCUUUCCUUCUUUCUUUCUUUCUUUUCUUUUCUUUUCUUUCCUUCUUUCCUUCUUUCUUUCUUUCUUUUCUUUUCUUUUCUUUCCUUCUUUCCUUCUUUCUUUCUUUCUUUUCUUUUCUUUUCUUUCCUUCUUUCCUUCUUUCUUUCUUUCUUUUCUUUUCUUUUCUUUCCUUCUUUCCUUCUUUCUUUCUUUCUUUUCUUUUCUUUUCUUUCCUUCUUUCCUUCUUUCUUUCUUUCUUUUCUUUUCUUUUCUUUCCUUCUUUCCUUCUUUCUUUUUCUUUCUUUUUCCUGAAAUGCUAGAUUUUAAUCAAAUGCCUGAAUCAUGAUUUUGAGUAAAUCUCUGUGCCUCAGUCAUUCCUGUCGGAGAUACUACACUUCACAUGGAUAGCUGCAUUAUCUGUUUGGAGAGAGCAUAAGGGAAGAUGACUUAAUAGUCCAGAAAAGGGAAAACCUGCUGGGUAUGUGGGUGUGUGAGUUUCAGAUCCAUGAACUGACAUAUGCAAAGCAAGAACGUCAUGGUUGGAUUUUUACCCCCACAUGGCUGCCUGAAACUCUUUUAAGCAGGCACUUUCCUCUAGGGACCUGCUUUUCAGUUAGAGGAAAUGAACCAUGCCCGUUGCAGCAGAGAAAUUGCAGAGUGAAAAGGGAUAUGUUCCCUGGACAGAGAUGUGGCUUUUGCUGGCAGUGCUUUACUGUGUUACAUGCCUCAUGA
rnacentral:lncRNA from 12 species